UACGUAGGGUGCGAGCGUUAAUCGGAAUUACUGGGCGUAAAGCGUGCGCAGGCGGUUCGUUGUGUCGGCGGUGAAAGCCCCGGGCUCAACCUGGGAAUGGCCGUUGAAACUGGGGAACUGGAGUGUGGCAGAGGGGGGUGGAAUUCCGCGUGUAGCAGUGAAAUGCGUAGAGAUGCGGAGGAACACCGAUGGCGAAGGCAGCCCCCUGGGAUGACACUGACGCUCAGGCACGAAAGCGUGGGGAGCAAACAGG
rnacentral:rRNA from 1 species